rnacentral:lncRNA from 1 species
GCCUUAUUGAAAAUUGGUUUAAUCCAAAUGAGUUACUCUCUUUAAAUAAAGAUAUUAUUAUUAUUAGGUCUUUCCACUUUUCUGUGGAAAGACCUAUUGUUUUUCUUCUGAUUUUUUUUUUUUCUUCCGCCUAAUUUUGUUCUUGCGAUAAAUAUUUGUUUCGCAAUAUGUCACUUAGAUAUUUGGUAUAUGAUAUCGAACAGUUUAUGCGCUUUUGAAAUUUACCCUGCGUAACCGAAUACUUUUCUUUGUAGGAGUUAUCUCCCCAAGCACUGUUUUCCUUGUGUCCACUACUCCUUCGCAACCGUAAAAGAUUACGACAAAUUUAUUUUACAAAAUUGCUCGUUAUAUCCUUUGCAUGAUUUGUCCAAUUUUGACCGAAGCAAUAUGAACG